rnacentral:rRNA from 1 species
CCUACGGGAGGCAGCAGUGAGGAAUAUUGGUCAAUGGGCGAGAGCCUGAACCAGCCAAGUAGCGUGCAGGAUGACGGCCCUAUGGGUUGUAAACUGCUUUUGUAUGGGGAUAAAGUUAGGGACGUGUCCCUAUUUGCAGGUACCAUACGAAUAAGGACCGGCUAAUUCCGUGCCAGCAGCCGCGGUAAUACGGAAGGUCCAGGCGUUAUCCGGAUUUAUUGGGUUUAAAGGGAGCGUAGGCUGGAGAUUAAGUGUGUUGUGAAAUGUAGACGCUCAACGUCUGAAUUGCAGCGCAUACUGGUUUCCUUGAGUACGCACAACGUUGGCGGAAUUCGUCGUGUAGCGGUGAAAUGCUUAGAUAUGACGAAGAACUCCGAUUGCGAAGGCAGCUGACGGGAGCGCAACUGACGCUUAAGCUCGAAGGUGCGGGUAUCAAACAGGAUUAGAUACCCGUGUAGUC